GAUGAACGCUGGCGGCGUGCCUAAUACAUGCAAGUCGAGCGAACGGACGAGAAGCUUGCUUCUCUGAUGUUAGCGGCGGACGGGUGAGUAACACGUGGAUAACCUACCUAUAAGACUGGGAUAACUUCGGGAAACCGGAGCUAAUACCGGAUAAUAUUUUGAACCGAAUGGUUCAUUAGUGAAAGACGGUCUUGCUGUCACUUAUAGAUGGAUCCGCGCUGCAUUAGCUAGUUGGUAAGGUAACGGCUUACCAAGGCAACGAUGCAUAGCCGACCUGAGAGGGUGAUCAACCACACUGGAACUGAGACACGGUCCAGACUGCUACGGGAGGCAGAAGUAGGGAGUCUUCCGCAAUGGGCGCAGGCCUGACGGAGCGACGCCGCGUGAGUGAUGAAGGUCUUCGGAUCGUAAAACUCUGUUAUUAGGGAGGAAGAUAUGAGAAAGUAGAUGUGCGCAUCUUGACGGUACCUAAUCAGAGAGCCACGGCUAAAUACGUG
rnacentral:rRNA from 1 species